AAAGUACUCCCUCCGUCCCAAAAUUCUUGCUUAGAUUUGUCUAGAUACGGAUGUAUCAAGUCACAUUUUAGUAUUAGAUACAUCCGUAUCUAGACAAAUCUAAGACAAGAAAUUUGGGACAGAGGGAGUAGUUG
rnacentral:pre_miRNA from 1 species